AUUGAACGCUGGCGGCAUGCCUUACACAUGCAAGUCGAACGGUAACAGGUCUUCGGAUGCUGACGAGUGGCGAACGGGUGAGUAAUGCAUCGGAACGUGCCCAGUAGUGGGGGAUAGCCCGGCGAAAGCCGGAUUAAUACCGCAUACGACCUGAGGGUGAAAGGGGGGGAUCGCAAGACCUCUCGCUAUUGGAGCGGCCGAUGUCAGAUUAGCUAGUUGGUGGGGUAAAGGCCUCCCAAGGCAACGAUCUGUAGUUGGUCUGAGAGGACGACCAGCCACACUGGGAGUGAGACACGGCCCAGACUCCUACGGGAGGCAGCAGUGGGGAAUUUUGGACAAUGGGCGCAAGCCUGAUCCAGCAAUGCCGCGUGCAGGAAGAAGGCCUUCGGGUUGUAAACUGCUUUUGUCAGGGAAGAAAUCUUCUGGGUUAAUACCUCGGGAGGAUGACGGUACCUGAAGAAUAAGCACCGGCUAACUACGUGCCAGCCGCCGCCGUAACAC
rnacentral:rRNA from 1 species